rnacentral:rRNA from 1 species
GACGAACGCUGGCGGCGUGCUUAACACAUGCAAGUCGAACGGGCCCGCCCCUGUUUUUGGGGGUGGGUUGAGUGGCGAACGGGUGAGUAUCACGUGAGUAACCUGCCCCCUGCUCCUGGAUAACUGCUUGAAAGGGCGGCUAAUACGGGGUGUGCCGGCUGGUCCGCAUGGGCCUGGUCGGGAUAGUUUCAUCUUCGGGUGUUUCGGUGGGGGAUGGGCUCGCGGCCUAUCAGCUUGUUGGUGGGGUGAUGGCCCACCAAGGCGGUGACGGGUAGCCGGCCUGAGAGGGUGGGCGGCCACACUGGGACUGAGACACGGCCCAGACUCCUGCGGGAGGCAGCAGUGGGGGGUAUUGCACAAUGGGCGGAAGCCUGAUGCAGCGACGUCGCGUGAGGGAUGGAGGCCUUCGGGUUGUGAACCUCUUUCUCCGGUGGUGAAGGCCCUGUCCGGUGCGGCGGGGUUGACGGUAGCCGGGUAUGAAGCGCCGGCUAACUACGUG